AAGUUCCUCUGUUGUGGGACUCAGCUGGUUCUUUUCUGUUGUCUUUCCUGUACUUUUUCCGCUAUAGGUCGUACCCUCGCCGACGUUGCGAUGGGGGAAGCAGAGAAGUUUCACUACAUCUACAGUUGUGACCUGGAUAUCAACGUCCAGCUUAAGAUAGGAAGCUUGGAAGGGAAGAGAGAACAAAAGAGUUAUAAAGCUGUCCUAGAAGACCCAAUGUUGAAGUUUUCAGGACUAUACCAAGAGACAUGCUCGGAUCUUUAUGUUACUUGUCAGGUUUUUGCAGAAGGGAAGCCUUUGGCCUUGCCAGUGAGAACAUCCUACAAAGCAUUUAGUACAAGAUGGAACUGGAACGAAUGGCUGAAACUACCAGUAAAAUACCCUGACCUGCCCAGGAAUGCCCAAGUGGCACUCACCAUAUGGGAUGUGUAUGGACCUGGAAAAGCAGUGCCUGUAGGAGGAACAACAGUUUCGCUCUUUGGAAAAUACGGCAUGUUUCGCCAAGGGAUGCAUGACUUGAAAGUCUGGCCUAAUGUAGAAGCCGAUGGAUCAGAACCCACAAAAACUCCUGGCAGAACAAGUAGCACUCUCUCAGAAGAUCAGAUGAGCCGCCUUGCCAAGCUCACCAAAGCUCAUCGACAAGGACACAUGGUGAAAGUAGAUUGGCUGGAUAGAUUGACAUUUAGAGAAAUAGAAAUGAUAAAUGAGAGUGAAAAACGAAGUUCUAAUUUCAUGUACCUGAUGGUUGAGUUUCGAUGUGUCAAGUGUGAUGAUAAGGAAUAUGGUAUUGUUUAUUAUGAAAAGGACGGUGAUGAAUCAUCUCCAAUUUUAACAAGUUUUGAAUUAGUGAAAGUUCCUGACCCCCAGAUGUCUAUGGAGAAUUUAGUGGAGAGCAAACACCACAAGCUUGCCCGGAGUUUAAGAAGUGGACCUUCUGACCAUGAUCUCAAACCCAAUGCUGCCACAAGAGAUCAGUUAAAUAUUAUUGUGAGUUAUCCACCAACCAAACAACUUACAUAUGAAGAACAAGAUCUUGUUUGGAAGUUUAGAUAUUAUCUUACAAAUCAAGAAAAAGCCUUGACAAAAUUCUUGAAAUGUGUUAAUUGGGAUCUACCUCAAGAGGCCAAACAGGCCUUGGAACUUCUGGGAAAAUGGAAGCCGAUGGACGUAGAGGACUCCUUGGAGCUGUUAUCCUCUCAUUACACCAACCCAACAGUGAGGCGUUAUGCUGUUGCCCGGUUGCGACAGGCCGAUGAUGAGGAUUUGUUGAUGUACCUAUUACAAUUGGUCCAGGCUCUCAAAUAUGAAAAUUUUGAUGAUAUAAAGAAUGGAUUGGAACCUACCAAGAAGGAUAGUCAGAGUUCAGUGUCAGAAAAUCUGUCAAAUUCUGGAAUAAAUUCUGCAGAAAUAGAUAGCUCCCAAAUUAUAACCAGCCCCCUUCCUCCAGUCUCCUCACCACCUCCUGCAUCAAAAACAAAAGAAGUUCCAGAUGGCGAAAAUCUGGAACAAGAUCUCUGUACCUUCUUGAUAUCGAGAGCCUGCAAAAACUCAACACUGGCUAAUUAUUUAUACUGGUAUGUGAUCGUGGAAUGUGAAGAUCAAGAUACCCAGCAGAGGGAUCCAAAGACCCAUGAGAUGUACUUGAAUGUAAUGAGAAGAUUUAGCCAAGCGUUGUUGAAGGGUGAUAAGUCUGUCAGAGUUAUGCGUUCUUUGCUGGCCGCACAACAGACAUUUGUAGAUCGGUUGGUGCAUCUAAUGAAGGCAGUACAACGUGAAAGUGGAAAUCGUAAGAAAAAGAAUGAGAGACUACAGGCGUUGCUUGGAGAUAAUGAAAAGAUGAAUUUGUCAGAUGUGGAACUUAUCCCGUUGCCUUUAGAACCCCAAGUGAAAAUUAGAGGAAUAAUUCCGGAAACAGCUACACUGUUUAAAAGUGCCCUUAUGCCUGCACAGUUGUUUUUUAAGACAGAAGAUGGAGGCAAAUAUCCAGUUAUAUUUAAGCAUGGAGAUGAUUUACGUCAAGAUCAACUUAUUCUUCAAAUCAUUUCACUCAUGGACAAGCUGUUACGGAAAGAAAAUCUGGACUUGAAAUUGACACCUUAUAAGGUGUUAGCCACCAGUACAAAACAUGGCUUCAUGCAGUUUAUCCAGUCAGUUCCUGUGGCUGAAGUUCUUGAUACAGAGGGAAGCAUUCAGAACUUUUUUAGAAAAUAUGCACCAAGUGAGAAUGGGCCAAAUGGGAUUAGUGCUGAGGUCAUGGACACCUACGUUAAAAGCUGUGCUGGAUAUUGCGUGAUCACGUAUAUACUUGGAGUUGGAGACAGGCACCUGGAUAACCUUUUGCUAACGAAAACAGGCAAACUCUUCCACAUAGACUUUGGAUAUAUUUUGGGUCGGGAUCCGAAGCCUCUUCCUCCACCAAUGAAGCUGAAUAAAGAAAUGGUAGAAGGAAUGGGGGGCACACAGAGUGAGCAGUACCAAGAGUUCCGUAAACAGUGUUACACGGCUUUCCUCCACCUGCGAAGGUAUUCUAAUCUGAUUUUGAACUUGUUUUCCUUGAUGGUUGAUGCAAACAUUCCAGAUAUUGCACUUGAACCAGAUAAAACUGUGAAAAAGGUUCAGGAUAAAUUCCGUUUAGACCUGUCGGAUGAAGAGGCUGUGCAUUACAUGCAGAGUCUGAUCGAUGAGAGUGUCCAUGCUCUUUUUGCUGCAGUGGUGGAACAGAUUCACAAGUUUGCCCAGUACUGGAGAAAAUGAAACUGGGAUUGACGCAUCAAGAUGCUUGGCUCAAUAAGAAAACCACGUUAGGAGCAAUCUAUGUAUAUUGGAGACUUCAGAGUAACCAGCAAGGAAGAGAAAACUUAAUCGUCAAGUUAUCAUAUUUUCCAGAUAUUACAUGCCCUGAGCUUGCCUCUUUAGAGUGGUGUUACCAGCGAGAGGGGAAGCAUGUAAUUGACACUCUAGAGGCAUAUGGAAUGUGAUUUGUAUAAAACAUACCUGCUGAUUAGAAAAAUGGUAAGAAUGAAAAUACCUUUAUACAUCAUCUUAAGAGAGCGUAUAUCUAAACUAAAUGGGCAGGCUUCAUCCUCUACCUUUCUUUUUCUUUUCUUUGCAUGUUUAUGUCUUUUUUGCUGUUGUUCAGAUAUUUUUAGCCCUCUGCAUGCUCAUUCUUGUAGUUCUGUUUCUAUUGGCACUUCCUCCAAAAUUUUUCUCUGAAUUACCUAUGUUGAAAAUGACCUUUCUUCCUUGUGAACUCCUACACUGGCAUCUCCUGUUUCAGGGUUUGGCAUACUUUUUCUUUAAUGGGCUAAAAAAGUAAGUAUCUUCAGCUUUGGGGGGCAUAUGGUCUCAAUAGCAUCAACUUAACUCUGCUAACUGGAAGGCAAAAGUGUAUCAUCUUACUCAUCCAUAAACUCCACAGCACUCUGCAUAGAUAGGAGGAUGUUUAUAAGGAACUCAAUAAAUAAUUCUGACACAGACAUGAAAUUCUCUAAGGACAGACACUGACAACUAGUCAGGAAGGUUGAUCAUGAGUAACUUUGUAUUCAGUGCCACCUUAUCAAAAAUUGUAAAGAGGAUAAACCUUUCUAGGAAGGGUGACGCGUGCUGGGUGAGGAAGGAGCAUCGCUCAGGAGGGUGAACAGUAGCUGUGGAUUUGCUGAGAGAUUUUGGCUGUGAGUGACAAGCCUAUAUCAAAAAGAAAAGUGACUUAUCAAUCUCAGUUUUUAUUGCUCAAAGCAAUUCUUCACUCCUAAUUUUUCCAAAUUCCAUUGUUUUUACUCUUUAGAGCUCUAUCCUGAGUGUAAUCUGCAUGUUUCUUUAUUGUCAUUGCCAUGUGACUUCUUUGGUGACAAGUUCAGUAAUAUUUCAAGCAUGAUGUUUGUUUUGAGUUUGAGAAAUGUGUUUGUGAGGACACAUCACUUUAAUUAAAAAGUGUGAAUACUAUGGUCAUAAGUUAUUCAGAGUGAGAUUUCUGAGUGGGGGAGAGAGAAUGUAGAUGGCAGUUAUUGAGAGUGGGGCUAUAGGAAAAAAAGAAGAAAAGUAUGGUUAACAUUCCCAAAUAAAGGGUGAUACAGCCUUGCUUUUUGCUGGGGUUAGCAAAAAUCAUUCUCCAUAUGCUAGUUUUAGAUGUUCCCCAGUUCAUUUGUAUUAUUGAGUUUUCAGCUGGGUAUGUAUUGUUAUAAUAGCAGUCAACAUGAUGUAGGGGCUCGGUAUUACAUGUCAGGACUAUAUUAAUUGCUUCAUAUGCCUUAUCUCAUUAUUCUAUGAGAUAGAAUUGUCUCCUUAUUUUUCAGUUGAAGUAACUGAAGUUUAAAGCAAUUGAAUCAUCUGCCCAAGAAUAAGCUGCUGGUGAGAGCACAGUUGGGAUUUAAGUCGAGUUAGGCCCCAGUGAUCACAGUCUUGACUGUUAAAUUCUUCCAGCCUUCAUUUUUCACUGAGAUAAUAGUAAUGAUAGUACUGACCUCUAAGGUGUGCAUUUGUGGGUGUGUGGUCCGUUCAGCUUUAAUCCCCAGAAGACAAGACUUAUUCCUUUUCUUAGUUUUGGUCAUGUUUUAUUUUUCCAUUGCUUUUAACAGGAUUACCAAAGGCACACUCAGUAGUCAGUAAACACAUUUCUAAGAAAGGUGUUGUGUCAUCAUGCCACAUAUUCAUACCUGCCUUGGGUUGGAAAGUAUAUCAUUCAGUAAAAACAUACAGGUAAAAUAAAUCUUGCCAAUGCAAUUGUUAACCUACAAUCCUAAUAUACCUUAAGUAUAUCCUUGCACAUAAAUAUAACAUUGCCAUUUAAAACGAUAAACCAAAUUGAGAUUCUUAGGAGCAUGUUGUAAGUAAUUACUAAUGUUUGCUUUAUUUUAGAUAGAUCACACAACUUCAAAUAAAAACUGAUAGAGAUUGAACCGAUUGAGAAUAAACCUUAGUGCCAAAUGGAAAAUAAUUUUUUACAAGUAAAUUUGAAGAACAGUGUGGACUUUCUUUAAUUAUAUACAGAAAAUAUACUGAUUUACCAAAUGAAUAAUUUUGAUAUAUUAAUAUUUCACUUAUAAGGAUGCAUACCACCUGAUCCAGCAUGGGAGCAAGGAACAGAAAAAGAACAUUAGGUAAAAAUGAAAGAAAUCUGAAUAUAGUAUAGAGUAGCUAAAAACAAACCCCAAAAAAAGGAAAAGCAGAAUAAGCCUUAGAAGAUAGUGAGCAUCCCACUUGGGUGACCACUUACAGAAGCUGAGGUGGGACCCCUGCAUCUGAUAAGAGGUUGCACUAGACCACAGGAACCACAUUCCACUAUAAGAACUAGGGUGGGACUGGACAUGUCAGAACCUCCUGGGACCUCUAUUAAAUGUGCACAUUCCCAAUCCCCACUCCUGAGCAGCUAAAUCAAUCUGCAGGUGGGCCUUGUGAGUUUUCCCAGGGGAUUCCGAUGCCUGCUAGAUGUUAAGUUUUCCUGUAGUCCAGAGAUUCCAUAGGCCAGUGUCAGGGAACAGGAGUCAGGGCUGGGAAGGCAUUAGAACAGAAGACGCAUUUGAGGCUCUGUUACGCUGGUCAUCCAACCCAACCAGAUAUCUCUUGUUAUAUGCUAACCUCAUUUUCUCUUUAUUGUCUAUGGUGGCAAAAAAUAAAUUUUAUGUAGCCAAAAACCCUAACAAAAAGCACUUUUCUGUAUAAUGAGUAGUUUAUUUUAAGAAUGGGUACUACGUAAAUACUGGCAAGUGAAAGUUCAUUUUGUUCAGUGCUAUGGGCUGGUGCGUUGCAUUUCAACACUAGCUUUUUACUUUUAUCUACCCUGAGGGUAGAUAACCCAUAUUCCAAAAUGCAGUAUCAUUUUCAUUUACUGUUAGUAACAUUUUAAGAAAUAUGUAGUUUCUAAAACUUCAUAUACUUUAUAUGGAAUAUGAACAACUUUAAUAUGAAUAGUCUAGAAAAAAACUGUUUUUUUUUUUAGGAAAAAUUGCCACGAAAUCAUGAGCUAAGUCAAUGGUUAUUUUAAGCCACUUAAUUUUGAGACUAGUAUUUCAUACAGAAAAAGCUAAUACUGAUAUCACAUGCUAAUUGCGUAUAAAACACUAAGAAUGUCAAAAUAGAACAUAAGAAAAUGAAUCUAGUGGACCCACUGCAUAGUGUAACUUUGGGAUGAAUUUAAAAGAAUAUUUAAGUCACAGUCAAUUUUCUGUUGGUCUGAUUUUACCAAAUAACCCCCUAAAUAAGGAGUCUGAUUUAUCUAAAAUAGAAGUUAACGUAGCAUCCCAGUAUUGCCAUUCUAAAACUCUGGCAUGUAAAUGGGAGAAAUAGAAAUAAGCUCAAACUCGGUAGAGUAACCCGUUUCUUCAUGAACCAUAGCAUUUAACUAGAAUUUGGCCAGCUCAUGCCUGUAAUCCCAGCAUUUUGGGAGGCCAAGGCAGCCAAAUCACUUGAGCCCGGGAGUUCAAGACCAGCCUGGACAACAUGGUGAAACCCCAUCUCUUCAAAAAUACAUAUAUUUGUGUGUGUGUGUAUGUGUGUGUGUGCACAAAAAUUACCUAAGCGUGGUGGUGCACACCUGUAAUCACAGCUACCUGGGAGGCAGAGGUUGCAGUGAGCUGAGAUCGCACCAUUGCACCCCAGCCUGGGUAAUAGAGCGAGACAACUGUAUCUCAAAAAAAAAGAAUUUCACUAGAAUUUAUAUCUUCAAUGUUUGCAUUAGAUCGUCACCAGCACUAUCUGCCUUGUGACUGUCAGGACUAAUCUUUACAUUGUUUAUCUUAUGUCCUUUACCUCAAUUUAUGUCCAUCACCACAAGAAUCCCAGACCUCCCUAAUCAUACCUUAUGCCCUGGUCUUACCCACAUAUGGCUCAGUAAAACUGCAUCUCCCCAAACCUCAGAACUCCUUGGGCCAUCAUUGUCAGAGACAUUUGAACCAGAACAACUCCAUCUUGAAUAGGGGCUGGGUAUAAUGAAGCUGAGAGCCACUGGGCUGCGUUCCCAGGAAGUUAGGCAUUCUUAGUCACAGGAUGAGAUAGGAGAUUGGCUCAAGGUAAGGUCACAAAGACCUUGCUGGUAAAACAGCAUGUGGUAAAGAAGCCAACCAAAACCCACCAAAACCAAGCUGGGAAUGAAAGUACCUCUGGUCGUCCUCACUGCUCAUUAUACGCUAGUUAUAAUGCAUUGGCAUGCUAACAGACACUCCCACCAGCACCAUGACAGUUUACAAAUGCCAUGGCAACAUCAGGAAGUUAUCCUAUAUGGUCUGAAAAGGGGAGGAACCCUCAGUUCUGAGAACCACCCUUUUCCUCGAAAACUCAUGAAUAAUCCACCCCUUGGUUAGUGUAUGAUCAAGAAUUAACUAUAAAAAUAGCCAACCAGCAGCUCAUGCUGCUGCUCUGCCUAUGGAGUAGCCAUUCUUUCUUCAUAAACCUUCUUUCACUUUAUGGACUCCCCCGGAUUCUUCUGCAGGGGAUCCAAGAACCCUCUCUUGGAGUCUUAAUUGGGACCCCUUUCCAGUAACUUCAGCAGGAUCUGUGAGUGCCAGUUUCCUUCUGUGGGGCAAAACUAAGUGCUAAGUACACUCCCCCCCGCCUUCUCUAUUUUUAAGAGAACUUUCUGCCCUUUUGAAGUGGCUACAUUGUCUGGGGUACAUACCCUGGAGUUCAUUGUCACAGGAGAAUUUAGGACAGACACACGAGGAGUUUAGGAAGUGGAGGUUUAAUAGGUAGAAGAGAAGGGAAAAAGAAACAGCUUCCUCUAUAGAUGUCUGCACUCACACCGUGCAUACCUCCAGGCUUUAAGGCAUGGCCCAUAAUGUGUCUCCGAGUGGAAAAAACCGAUGGUCUCCAAGUGGAAAAGACCGGUUGGUGGUGAAUGCGCCAAAUUUUCUAGUCCGGUUUGAGAAGGCGGUUUCUGAUUGGUUCAAUCAGGUAUGACAUUUGGAUAGUGCAUGUGGAAGGCUGGUCGCCCCUCUCUGAUCUUGUGCAAAUAGGCUUUCCAGUUGAUUGGGCCCAUCUUGUCUAACACGUGGCUGGCAGAGAAGGGAAGAUGAAGCCACCAUCUUGAAAAUGUCUAGUCCUUAGUUUCUGCUGGCAUUCACCCAUGCAAGCUCCCAGCUUAUUUGUCUAUGUCUGCAUCUCAGCUUUACAGACUGCUCUUUGUUAGAAAAUGAUUUGGAGCUGCGUUUUCGUUAAAGAAAAGCCUUACCGAGGACUCCCAUACCCUUACUAUCUGCUUAAGUGAUUUCUUCUUAACUCCUGUAUCACUUUUACACAGCACAGAAUAAUGAUGUGUCCAUAAAUGAGCCUUUGCAAGAUUACCAUUUAUCAAACAAAACCAGUGAUGUUUAGUUAACUGUUUGUAAUAGUAAAUGGUUGGUAGAAUGUCUAAUUCAAUAAAUGUUUCUUAGAUGA